rnacentral:lncRNA from 1 species
GUCUGAGCUCUCUCUCUCUCUCUCUCUCUCUCUGGACGGGGAGGGGAGGGGCGGGGGGGCAGAGCGCUAUUAGCCGAGCGCUGCAGACAUCGUUAGGAGGGGAGACGCUUUCCACCGCCAGCGCCGGAGCAGAGCCGGGGAGCCCUGGCAACAAGCGGAGACACCGACUCAGCAGCCCGUGACGCCGUACAGGAAUGGUGACAGCCCCUGCAGACAGACAGACGUGGACAGACGGCGCCUCCCUCCCGUCGCUGGACAGAUCCGCGACUCCAGCCGGCUUUUGGCUCCACUCUGAGCGGCAGGCGCCUCCUACUCAACCUAAGUAGCGGUCCCUCCUCGGCCCAGGAUUGUGCUGCAUGUGGGCAGGUUUGCUUCUCCGGGGAAAUGAUUCCGCAUGAAGUGCAGCGCACUCGGCCCCCCGUCUUCCUCGGCGGCCGCAGCAGGUGUGACGUCGCGACGCUCUUCCCCACGACACUGAGCUCACUCCUGAGACGCUAAAGACCCAACAGACCCGGAGCCAACAGAACACCCCGCCACUCCCCUCCGACCGCCCUCCGCAUCGCCAUCGCUCUUCAGCACCUCCGCACCUAUCAUUUAAAGAACCAAGAGAUUUACGUGCCGAACUGGACAGAAAGGGAACGAGAGACGGGCCUGGAGGUUGGUUUAUAGCCAGUAAGGACAGAACAUCAGAAGGAUAAAGGGAAGUGAAGUAGAAAGUAAGAGAGGGGGAAACAGAAGAAGCUAUAGAAGGUGAACGUUAAGGGAUAAAGC